AUUGAACGCUGGCGGCAGGCCUAACACAUGCAAGUCGAGCGGAUGAAGGGAGCUUGCCCCUGGAUUCAGCGGCGGACGGGUGAGUAAUGCCUAGGAAUCUGCCUGGUAGUGGGGGAUAACGUCCGGAAACGGGCGCUAAUACCGCAUACGUCCUGAGGGAGAAAGUGGGGGAUCUUCGGACCUCACGCUAUCAGAUGAGCCUAGGUCGGAUUAGCUAGUUGGUGGGGUAAAGGCCUACCAAGGCGACGAUCCGUAACUGGUCUGAGAGGAUGAUCAGUCACACUGGAACUGAGACACGGUCCAGACUCCUACGGGAGGCAGCAGUGGGGAAUAUUGGACAAAGGGCGAAAGCCUGAUCCAGCCAUGCCGCGUGUGUGAAGAAGGUCUUCGGAUUGUAAAGCACUUUAAGUUGGGAGGAAGGGCAGUAAGUUAAUACCUUGCCGUUUUGACGUUACCAACAGAAUAAGCACCGGCUAACUUCGUG
rnacentral:rRNA from 1 species